ensembl:misc_RNA 7SK 7SK RNA
GGAUGUGAGGGUGAUCUGGCCAUGACAUCGGUCACCCAUUGAUUUGGCUGAUCUGGUUGGCUAGGAGGGUGUGCCCUUCCUCCCUCACUGCUCCAAGUGUGUCCCUCCCUAGGUGUGCUGUGGAAGAGAACAGCCACACAUGAUAGAGGAAGACCAUUUCCUCAGUCAAGAGUAUACCAGUAGCUCCUCUCCCCUGGUAGAACCUCCAAACAAGCUCUCAAGAAAAUGGGUCUUCAUCGCUAAAGAGGAUAUUGAAACAAUGCCAAAGUUUU